GCUGAUAUGGCUCAGUUGGUAGAGCGCACCCUUGGUAAGGGUGNNGGUAAGGGUGAGGUCCCCAGUUCGACUCUGGGUAUCAGCACCA
rnacentral:tRNA from 1 species